CACGUAGGGGGCAAGCGUUGUCCGGAAUUAUUGGGCGUAAAGAGCUCGUAGGCGGCUCGGUAAGUCGGGUGUCAAAUCCUCAGGCUCAACCUGGGGCUCCACCCCGAUACUGCUGUGGCUAGAGUCCGGUAGGGGAGCGUGGAAUUCCUGGUGUAGCGGUGAAAUGCGCAGAUAUCAGGAGGAACACCGCGGCGAAGGCGGCGCUCUGGGCCGGAACUGACGCUGAGGAGCGAAAGCGUGGGUAGCAAACAGG
rnacentral:rRNA from 1 species